GCUUAAUUUAGCAGACUCACAUGUUUUUCACUCAACGGCUGCCACAAUAUUUGUACAUCCCGUUGGUAAAUAGAGGAAUUACACGGUAAUCUCUCAGAUAUCGCUUGCCAACAUUUCCUAAAUUGUGAUAAACUGCUAAAAUUAUAUUUUCUGUAGAACAUCUUAUAGGGAGCUCAUCACAGAGUGCCUGCGCGUGUUUGGUUACGCAGAAAUACCACCCCAAGGAUGCCAUUUCAUGGAAUAAGUGGUUUAUUGAGCUCCAGCACUAGGGAAACCUGGUUUAGUGUGGCUUUGUGCCUUGCAGCUGAUUAAUGUGGUUGUCUAACAAAUGCUCCUGGAGUGGAGGUCUUCAGGGCCUCUCUUGUGGGUCGAUUCUCUCGCGUCUGAAGAAGGAUUGAGCUGAAAGGGCAGCCCUUUUCCCUAGCUAAUAAUUCUUUUAUCCCACACCUCCUCGCCUGGUUCCAUAGACCUGUGGCAAUGCAGUAUUUCUGCAUCUUCUAACAGGGAGAAGGGAGAAAGAGCACCCCGAGGGAUGGACCCGGAUAUGGAUGGGGUGCAUACUAAGCCAGGCUGGAGUAGUCCUGGAAAAAUGACCAUAUUGAUCUCAUUCCACUACUUUUCAUGGCUGAUUUUUCUUGAAAUAAAAUUUUAAUGAUUUAUUGAUGAAAUUAAACCUGAUCCUUUUGUCAAUAGCCGUCACUUCCCUCUGCCUGAGUCCAGCAACCUCACGCCCCCCCCAUCCCUCCAUGCUCUUCCCUGCCACAUUUGCCUUUGGGGAAUGCAAAGGGAGGGAAGGACAACAAAUAAACAGUUUUGUAAUUUUCCAGUUACCCACGGUUUACAUCACGUCUCCUCCCUCCACACCUACUUCUUGUUUUCGUGUCCAUGUGUGCAUUAUGUGGGUUUGAGGCCGCACCGCUGUGUGUCACGGCUGGCCCUGGUGAAGCCAAACCUACCUUGGAAACUGGGAAUGACCACAAGUCACAAUUUUUCUCACACCCCCAAGGUCCUCUGUGCCGUGGCCAGCUUUGCUCAGCCCUGCCUGCCUCAGUUUCCCCACCAGACCAUGCAGCAGCCUCCCUGCUUGAGCGUGAUGAUGGGGAUCGGAGGGGGUUUGUGUCCAGCACAGGGGAGAAAAUGGGCCAAAUCUGGGCUCUUACCAGGAGCAACAGGACCCCAGUAAUCAGUGCGGACUCAGCGUGUCCCCCGUCACCCCCAUCCACACUUGUGGCCAUCAGCUCCCCGUGCCCAAUGCACCACGGCACCACCUCCCGCAGCCCUUGCCCGUGGCUGUCACCACCUCCGUUCACACUGGAGGACGUGCAAAGCCUUCACGAUGACUUCAACAAGAAAGCGCCAACACCUUCAGCUCUCCGUCCGCCCCACUCAGCCUUGCUGGGUGGGAGAAGUGCCCCAGGAGCAGCAAGGUCUCACCCGAGACACACCACGGGCUCCAGAGCAGGGGAAACCUGGAGCCAAGCACAGCUGAAGAUAUUUCGGGCCUCACGUCUGGGAGAAAUGGUCUGGAGCCAAGCCCCGAGCCCUGCUGACGAGAAAGGAUCAGACAAAAGGCAAAGAGCAGGAGUCCAAAUCACAUUAGUCCGGAGAGCAGAGAGACAAAUGUCUCUUGAGGACACGCUGCGGUUGGAUGUCAGACUGCACGCAGGUGAUUUUUGGCUGACUCCUGCUGCACACCAGCAGCUUUCCAUGGAACGACGUUGA
ensembl:lncRNA